rnacentral:rRNA from 1 species
UACGAAGGGGGCUAGCGUUGCUCGGAUUUACUGGGCGUAAAGGGCGCGUAGGCGGACAGUUUAGUCAGAGGUGAAAGCCCAGGGCUCAACCUUGGAAUUGCCUUUGAUACUGGCUGUCUUGAGUACGGGAGAGGUGAGUGGAACUCCGAGUGUAGAGGUGAAAUUCGUAGAUAUUCGGCGGAACACCAGUGGCGAAGGCGACUCACUGGCCCGAUACUGACGCUGAGGCGCGAAAGCGUGGGGAGCAAACAGG